rnacentral:misc_RNA from 1 species
UUUCCGUAGGUGAACCUGCGGAAGGAUCAUUAUUGAAAAAGACAAGACGCCCCGUUUUUUCGUAAAAUGGGUUCAAUACCCACAACCGUGUAUACCUUACCUUUUGUUGCUUUGGCAGGCCGCCUCCGGGCGUUGGCUUCGGCUGACAGCGCCUGCCAGAGGACCCAAACUCUGUGUUUAGUGAUGUCUGAGUAAUAUAUAAUAUUUUAAAACUUUCAACAACGGAUCUCUUGGUUCUG